rnacentral:rRNA from 1 species
UGCAGUCGACGAUGAACCACUUCGGUGGGGAUUAGUGGCGAACGGGUGAGUAACACGUGGGCAAUCUGCCCUGCACUCUGGGACAAGCCCUGGAAACGGGGUCUAAUACCGGAUACUGACCCGCUUGGGCAUCCAAGCGGUUCGAAAGCUCCGGCGGUGCAGGAUGAGCCCGCGGCCUAUCAGCUUGUUGGUGAGGUAAUGGCUCACCAAGGCGACGACGGGUAGCCGGCCUGAGAGGGCGACCGGCCACACUGGGACUGAGACACGGCCCAGACUCCUACGGGAGGCAGCAGUGGGGAAUAUUGCACAAUGGGCGAAAGCCUGAUGCAGCGACGCCGCGUGAGGGAUGACGGCCUUCGGGUUGUAAACCUCUUUCAGCAGGGAAGAAGCGAAAGUGACGGUACCUGCAGAAGAAGCGCCGGCUAACUACGUGCCAGCAGCCGCGGUAAUACGUAGGGCGCGAGCGUUGUCCGGAAUUAUUGGGCGUAAAGAGCUCGUAGGCGGCUUGUCACGUCGGUUGUGAAAGCCCGGGGCUUAACCCCGGGUCUGCAGUCGAUACGGGCAGGCUAGAGUUCGGUAGGGGAGAUCGGAAUUCCUGGUGUAGCGGUGAAAUGCGCAGAUAUCAGGAGGAACACCGGUGGCGAAGGCGGAUCUCUGGGCCGAUACUGACGCUGAGGAGCGAAAGCGUGGGGAGCGAACAGGAUUAGAUACCCUGGUAGUCCACGCCGUAAACGGUGGGCACUAGGUGUGGGCGACAUUCCACGUCGUCCGUGCCGCAGCUA